rnacentral:rRNA from 1 species
GACGAACGCUGGCGGCGUGCUUAACACAUGCAAGUCGAACGGAAAGGCCUCUUUCGGGGGGUACUCGAGUGGCGAACGGGUGAGUAAAACGUGAGUAACCUGCCCUUGACUUUGGGAUAACUUCAGGAAACUGGGGCUAAUACCGGAUAGGAGCUCCUGCUGCAUGGUGGGGGUUGGAAAGUUUCGGCGGUUGGGGAUGGACUCGCGGCUUAUCAGCUUGUUGGUGGGGUAGUGGCUUACCAAGGCUUUGACGGGUAGCCGGCCUGAGAGGGUGACCGGCCACAUUGGGACUGAGAUACGGCCCAGACUCCUACGGGAGGCAGCAGUGGGGAAUAUUGCACAAUGGGUGGAAGCCUGAUGCAGCAACGCCGUGUGCGGGAUGACGGCCUUCGGGUUGUAAACCGCUUUCGCUCAUGACGAAGCUUUGUGUGACGGUAGUGGGUAAAGAAGCACCGGCUAACUACGUG